rnacentral:rRNA from 1 species
AGAGUUUGAUCAUGGCUCAGGAUGAACGCUAGCUACAGACUUAACACAUGCAAGUCGAGGGGAAACGACAUCGAAAGCUUGCUUUUGAUGGGCGUCGACCGGCGCACGGGUGAGUAACGCGUAUCCAACCUGCCCACCACUUGGGGAUAACCUUGCGAAAGUAAGACUAAUACCCAAUGACGUCUCUAGAAGACAUCUGAAAGAGAUUAAAGAUUUAUCGGUGAUGGAUGGGGAUGCGUCUGAUUAGCUUGUUGGCGGGGUAACGCCCACAAGGCGACGAUCAGUAGGGGUUCUGAGAGGAAGGUCCCCCANAUUGGAACUGAGACACGGUCCAAACUCCUACGGGAGGCA